rnacentral:rRNA from 1 species
CCUACGGGAGGCAGCAGUGGGGAAUAUUGGUCAAUGGGAGAGAUCCUGACCCAGCCACGCCGCGUGAGUGAAGACGGCCCUAUGGGCUGUAAACCUCUUUUGUCGGAGCACAAAACCCGGGACGUGUCCCGGACUGCGUGUAUCCGACGUAAACGCAUAGGCUAACUUCGGACCAGCUGCCGCGGUACUACGGGGGAUGCGAGCUUUAUCGGGAUUUAUUGGGUUAAACGGGUGCGUGGCGGGUCCUUUAAGUCAGCGGGAAAGUGGCGGGGCGCAACCCAGUCGAGCCGUUGAAACUGGCAGACGUGAGUGGGCGAGAGGAACGCGGAAUGCGCGGUGUAGCGGUGAAAUGCGUAGA